rnacentral:rRNA from 1 species
UGAACGCUGGCGGCGUGCCUAACACAUGCAAGUCGAACGGGAACCCUUGGAUUCGUCUGGGGGGGAGAGUGGCGAACGGGUGAGUAACACGUAGGUGACCUGCCCCGGAGUGGGGGAUAACCAUUGGAAACGGUGGCUAAUACCCCAUGUGCUCGAUGGUUCAUUCUGUCGAGUAAAGUUCCGGCGCUUCGGGAGGGGCCUGCGGCCCAUCAGGUAGUUGGUAGGGUAACGGCCUACCAAGCCUAUGACGGGUAGGGGGCGUGAGAGCGUGAUCCCCCACACUGGCACUGAGAUACGGGCCAGACUCCUACGGGAGGCAGCAGUGAGGAAUAUUGCCCAAUGGACGCAAGUCUGAGGCAGCAACGCCGCGUGAGCGAUGAAGGCCUUCGGGUUGUAAAGCUCUUUUCUGGGGGAAGAGGAAGGACGGUACCCCAGGAAUAAGUCACGGCUAACUAC